GGCUACUGGGUGUUUUAUGUAUAGGUGUGACUGUUUUGAAGACAGAAAUCUCAUGUGACACAUGUAUGGCUAUCGUAUGCGAUGUGACAUUUACAAUUGAUACUCGUACAAGGUGAUUUUUGGAAUCUUAUUCAACAACAAAAGAAAAAUAAUGUUUUUGGAAUUGUAAUGCUUUUUUAGACGUUUCUGAUCAUGUCGUACACGGUGAUUUGUAUCCCUCUUAACGUUUUGUUUUUUUGAAGGUGAAAAUGAUUAAUGGAUACACUUUGAAUCUAUCAAGUCUUGAUCCAACAGCUAUCAGACCUCCUAUUUUCGUAUCGCCAUUAAUGAUAUAGACAAGCUGUACAACUCUCCUUUUUUGUAUUCUUCAAGGAGAACACCGGUUAAGAAAUUACUGGUCAACAAAUACAUCGGGCUAAUGAAGAUUUAUUGAUUUUGGCAUUUUGAGGAGAUUUCUUGAAACAAUGAAGAAAACAAGUACAAGUGUGACGUAUCAUAAAAAAAAAAAUGUAUGACGUAUCAUUAGUUAUGGCAACAACAUGAAGAAUAUCCGUGUCAAAUGAUUUGAGGUACGGUUCUGCAUUUAGAAACUUGGGACCGCAUGCCUCACACGUAUAGUCUAUUCUCUAUAAACUUGGGACCGCAUGGCUCACGUGGAGUUUAAUUCCACGUAACAGUUAGGCCAUACGCAUUAGAAGUUUAAAGGAAAGUAUCACACGUUUUACGAGGAAAAAAAUAUAUUAAAAAAAGCAAAAGCGGUGAACUCGGUUCGUCUCGCCUCUCCUGCGUGAUACCUUCUCUCUUAAAGUUCAUCACUGUAGCGCGGGCCCCACAACACGUGGCGGCCCGCGAUUGAUCAAUUUUUUUUUUUUAAAUCGAAAAAAAAAAUUUAAUAAUAAAAAAUUAAGAAGAUGAACCCCAAAAGGGGUUCACUGAUGCUCUUG
rnacentral:lncRNA from 1 species